rnacentral:rRNA from 1 species
AUUGAACGCUGGCGGCAUGCCUUACACAUGCAAGUCGAACGGCAGCACGGGUGCUUGCACCUGGUGGCGAGUGGCGAACGGGUGAGUAAUACAUCGGAACAUGUCCUGUAGUGGGGGAUAGCCCGGCGAAAGCCGGAUUAAUACCGCAUACGAUCUACGGAUGAAAGCGGGGGACCUUCGGGCCUCGCGCUAUAGGGUUGGCCGAUGGCUGAUUAGCUAGUUGGUGGGGUAAAGGCCUACCAAGGCGACGAUCAGUAGCUGGUCUGAGAGGACGACCAGCCACACUGGGACUGAGACACGGCCCAGACUCCUACGGGAGGCAGCAGUGGGGAAUUUUGGACAAGGGGCGAAAGCCUGAUCCAGCAAUGCCGCGUGUGUGAAGAAGGCCUUCGGGUUGUAAAGCACUUUUGUCCGGAAAGAAAUCCUUGCCCUAAUACGGUCGGGGGAUGACGGUACCGGAAGAAUAAGCACCGGCUAACUACGUG